CCACUUGCUCCCGCCUCCCCAACAAUAUCCUGGUGCUGAGCGAGUUGCGCACAGAGACUCCAGCAUCAGUGAUUUUGUUGAGGAGGGCGAGCUCUGCC
rnacentral:pre_miRNA from 1 species